GCCUCACCCGAUGAGUUUCUCCAGCACUUUUGUUUACCUUUGAUUUUUCCAGCAUCUGCAGUUCUUUUUUAAACAUGUUAUUCAUUGUAGUCAUCUUCUAGGUUGUAGUCAUCUUCUAGGCUCUUUUUGGAUUCUACUUUGUUGAACUAUUAAUGCCCAAAUGAAAACUAAGAAUUAAAGACAUGGAAUGGAAAAUAUAAUGGCUCGAUAAUUGGGAAAAACAAAACUAUUGUAACACAAAAUGAGGGAAGGUGACUCUUCUAGAGGUUUGAAGUGUAAUAUGUAUAUCUUCUGUGAUGAACCAUCCUUUGUAACCUUGGUUUUGCCUGGAAAUAGGUGAAACCUUAAACAGCAAGUGAUUAACUCCAUGUUCUAGAAUUCAUCAUUGGCAUUUAGGAAGGGAACUCAGCCACCUGUCUACUUUAUGACAAGAUUCCCAUUCCGCUGCACUUAGACCUGUGUCCUCACCAUCCAAUAUAUGGCUAAACCAUGAUGCAGCUCAAUAUUUGAACUCGGUUUUGCAUUGUCCUCGUAUUGCAGACACACUGAGAAUGCACCUGUUAAAAUUAGAUCUACGCAAAUGAAAAUGUGGUUUAUUGCACAACUUUCAAUUAAAACAAGUUUCACGCACUCACCAUUCUAUCUAAUUUCUCUUAAAAUAUGUGGGAAAGAAAUAUACACCAUGCAUUUCAUGAAUUAUUUACACUGGGAAUACGUCAUCUUCAGGCUAGUUCUAACUGCCAAAACUAGGUUUGCAACCCUUGGGACAGGGUAAGCACAGGGGUUGUUG